AUGUCAUGGUCAUUGUUGACCGUUCAUAUACCCCUGCAAUUGCUUUGCAGCUUAUGCGGGGGUUAUAUAACGGUCAACAUAGACAUUUGACAA
rfam:Medicago truncatula strain A17 chromosome 5, whole genome shotgun sequence.